AGCCUCAUUCCAAAUGAGAAUGGGCUCUCUUGAUCAGGGUCCAAAACUGGUCAAUGUGGCUAAGUUGAGACACAGGUUAUGCUUCCAUCUCAGUAAACACAUGGCAAUGCUCUUCAUCAUCA
rnacentral:snoRNA from 1 species